CCUACGGGAGGCAGCAGUGAGGAAUAUAGGUCAAUGGACGAGAGUCUGAACCAGCCAAGUAGCGUGAAGGAUGACUGCCCUAUGGGUUGUAAACUUCUUUUAUAUGGGAAUAAAAUGUUCCACGUGUGGGAUUUUGUAUGUACCAUAUGAAUAAGGAUCGACUAACUCCGUGCCAGCAGCCGCGGUAAUACGGAGGAUCCGAGCGUUAUCCGGAUUUAUUGGGUUUAAAGGGAGCGUAGGUGGAUUUAUAAGUCAGUUGUGAAAGUUUGCGGCUCAACCGUAAAAUUGCAGUUGAAACUGGCAGUCUUGAGUACAGUAGAGGUGGGCGGAAUUCGUGGUGUAGCGGUGAAAUGCUUAGAUAUCUCGAAGAACGCCGAUUGCGAAGGCAGUUCACUGGACUGCAACUGACACUGAGGCUCGAAAGUGUGGGUAUCAAACAGGAUUAGAUACCCCUGUAGUC
rnacentral:rRNA from 1 species